UGAACCCAAGGCAUGGGGGUCUUUUAUAGCCAAAAGAUCCCCCCACGUAUCACACCUAAUUUAGCCAACUAAUUUGGCUGAUAAAAUUCCCAAAAAAUUCUGGUGGUUUGACAGCUAAGAGGAGAUAAACAUAUCCAAAUUUUGUGCAUUUUGGAUCCCUAAAAGAUAGGAAUUCAUGCGUCCAAAGUUCAGCCGCAGACC
rnacentral:lncRNA from 1 species